rnacentral:rRNA from 1 species
CCUACGGGUGGCAGCAGUGAGGAAUAUUGGUCAAUGGGCGCGAGCCUGAACCAGCCAAGUAGCGUGAAGGAUGACUGCCCUACGGGUUGUAAACUUCUUUUAUAAAGGAAUAAAGUGAGGCAAGUGUGCCUUUAUGUAUGUACUUUACGAAUUAGGAUCGGCUAACUCCGGUCCAGCAGACGCGGUAAUACGGAGGAUCCGUGCGUUAUCCUGAUUUAUUUGGGUUAAAGGGAGCGUAGAUGGGUUGUUAAGUCAGUUGUGAAAGUUUGCGGCUCAACCGUAAAAUUGCAAUUGAUACUGGCAGUCUUGAGUACAGUUGAGGUAGGCGGAAUUCGUGGUGUAGCGGUGAAAUGCUUAGAUAUCAAGAAGAACUCCGAUUGCGAAGGCAGCUUACUAAACUUCCACUGACAUUGAGGCUCGAAAGUGUGGGUAUCAAACAGGAUUAGAUACCCCUGUAGUC